rnacentral:tRNA from 1 species
UCCGUUAUGGUCUAGUGGCUAGGAUUUGUCGCUCUCAUGUAGAUCCGACAAGGCCGGGGUUCAAUUCCCCGUGACGGAA